GGACUACCAGGGUAUCUAAUCCUGUUUGCUACCCACGCUUUCGCGCCUCAGCGUCAGGAGUCGACCAGUAUGCUGCCUUCGCCAUGGGUGUUCCUCCUGAUAUCAACGCAUUUCACCGCUACACCAGGAAUUCCACAUACCUCUUCGACCCUCCAGUCUGCCAGUAUGCAGAGCAGUUUCCGGGUUGAGCCCUGGAGAUUUCACUCUACACUUAACAGACCGCCUACGCGCUCUUUACGCCCAGUAAAUCCGGACAACGCUUGCACCCUACGUCUUACCGCGGCGGCUGGCAC
rnacentral:rRNA from 1 species